CGCCGCGCUCCUGCAUCUGUUGUGAUUCGACUGAAGAAGGGUUUGUGUUUAAAGCAUCUUUAAACACCGUACAAUCAACUCGAAAGUUCUUCUCAUCUUAAUCAGGACAGAGUGUCCAAAUACAGAGAAACUCCCGCUGAAGCGACUGAGAGCCUCGGCACACACUUAUAAAGAUGGCGUUUAUUAAAGAGGAGACUGAAGACUUCAGGAUUGAAGAAGUGUUCAGUCUGAAACAAGACACCACCGAGGAACAAACAGGUUGGUUUCGCUCUGAGAUGAAUGAUAUUUAUACGAGUGUCCUAAUUAAAGUGACAUAGAGCGAGUCGACCCAUGUGGACAGACAUGUUGAGAUCACCUGACAGGCAAAUAAAACUAACUUUAUAACAAACUUAUUUUUAAUCAAACGGUUUGAAUGUUUGUGAUUGACAAGCAGUUCAAAUCAAAGUCUCAAACUGAAGAAAACAUCUGUCGUGAUCUUCUGUCAAGCUCAGGUGUAAAUGUAGCAUCAUAAGUUGAUCUAGGAUGGGGGUUUCUUCUCCUGGGGCCUGAUGAAUAAAAGUUGUGCAUGCACAAAAUGGGCUUAUCAGGAAUUAUUAAAAAUAAAAUGGGCAUAAAUAUGUGCACACCGAACAAACACUAGACAGUGCGUACGCUGAUAAUUACAAAAGCAGAAUUUAUGUUCUGAGGAAAUAUUUUCAUGCGAAUAAUUAUCAAUGAUGCGCUCUUGACUCUAAGCAGAUGGCUUAGCAACAUAGAUGUUGUAAUGACAGACGCUGAAGGACUCGCUCGGUGACGGAAUGGUCCAUUGAUUGGUUUGAAUAAGAAGCUCACACACUACUGUAUAAGAAGUACACAGUACUGUACAAUAGGGCUGUGCAAUUAAUCGAAUUUCAAUUUCGAUUUUGGGUCUCAACGAUCACAAAAAUUGUGUAAUCGAGAAAAAAACUUUUAUUCAGUUUUUCUAGUUAUUUUGGCCUGCGUUCCUAAUAACGCGCAUCCGCACUUUCGCCCCUCCCGAAGCUCGAACUCUCUCAGCCUAUACUGUCGGCGAAACAAGUCGCGUAUGUGGUAUCUGGUCGCAUUUACAAAUCAGCGCGAGUGAAGAUGGCAGAACGAGAGCAGCCACAGAAAUCUUUGGUCAACAAAAGAGGUAAAAGCAAUUCCGUUGUUUGGGAACAGUUUGGAUUCGAAGAAGCGGACGUGGAUCAAAAACAUAUUAAGUGCAAGAUUUGCUACGCGGUGGUGUCAGCACCGCUUGGUAACACCACAAAUCUUUUUAACCAUCUAAAAUUUAAACACAGACCGACAUAUGACCAACUAAUAAUAAAGAAACAGAAAGAACAACGAACAACCCCCACGACGUCCUCCACAACACAGUCAUCCAUUAAAGACUGACUCUUCAGUGCAACUCCUUAUCCAUCCAGCUCAGAAAAGCACAAAAAAUAACAGAUGCCGUUGCAUACUUAGCCAAAGACAUGUGCCCCAUUAGCACGGUUGAGAACGAAGGAUUCCAAAAAAUGAUAAAAACUCUGGACAAGUGUUAUGCUUUGCCAUCUCGACACCAUUUCACGAGAGUUGCACUGCCUGCUUUAGCCACUUCUGCACAGCAUUUUUCAUUUAAUGAAGUGUCAAAAGCAGAGUACUUCGUCACCACAACAGACCUAUGGUCUAGCCGUACAAUGGAGCCAUACAUUAGCUUAACAAUACACUUCAUCGGCACCAAUUUCAAUUUGAAUACGAAAUGUCUCCAAACUGCGUUUAUUCCUGAAGACCAUACCGGGCAAAACAUAGCCCAUGGACUCAGGGAAGCUAUGGCUGCAUGGGGUUUAAACAAGGAAAAUCUCACCUGCAUCACAACAUAAAGCCGGCAGCUGAGGUAAAUGGAUGGAUGAGGCUUCAGUGUUUCGGGCACAGACUCCACUUGGCCAUAGGUAAGUAGGAAACCUUCAUACAGAUUAUAUGUAAUGUGGUGAUUUAAUUGUACUAUCACACUAACCUUUUACUAUUAUUAUUAUUAUUAUUAUUACCACUUGAACUACUCUUUGAUGCCUUCUUACUCCGUCUUAACAAAUGUUGCUUUGAUGAGGGUGGCAAUGAUCAUAUAGUUGACUAAAUAGUAUUUAUUGUAAUCUUAGAGAACGCAAUGAAGGAUCCUAGGAUCGACCGUGUAAUGGGGGUCUGCAAGAAGUUGGAAAAAAAAGAGGGAACUUGCAGAGGCACAAAAGCAGCUGAAGACUCCCUUAAAACAGAAUGCCCAACCAGAUGGGGAUCUAGGCAGGCCAUGUUAGACAGAGUCCUUGAGCAGCAUAAGGCCAUUGCCCAGGUCCUUUCUAGCGACUGAAAACUCAGACAUCUCACCCUCUCUUGGCAGGACAUUGACGUACUGGAGGCCAUCAAUAAGUCUCUUAGCCCCCUUGUUGAAUUCAGUGACGCACUUUCUGGAGAGAAAUACAUAAGUGUGUCUUUUCUGAAACCAACCUUCCACCUCUUUAGAAAUUCAAUAUUGGAAGUGCAGGACGAUGACACAGACCUUGCCAAAAGCAUCAAACAGAAAUACCUCAUUGACAAAUACAGCAACACAAGAGUUACUCGACAUGGCCUCUGCCCUGGACCCAAGGUUCAAGCUUAAAUAUGUCAACAAAGGCAACCGAGGGUCUAUUGAAGACAGACUGACAGCAGAGAUGAAGAGUGUGAUGACUGACAUGGUGGAGAACGUCCCUCUUGAGACAGAGGAUGCUGCUACUGCUCCAAUGAAGAAGAAGAAGAAGAAGAAGAAGAAGGGCCUGGGCAGUUCUUCAAAGUCACCACAGACAAAGCUGCUGGACCUCCUCUGCAACAGGACCAGGCCAUAACUGUUGAGCUACAGUCGUACCUGCAGACAGAGACACUGGAUGCUGAGGAAGACCCACUGAAGUGGUGGAGGGAAUCUCAGAGGAUCUACCCACGGCUUUCCAACCUGGCAAGGAAAUAUCUUUGUAUUCCAGCCACAAGUUCUUCAUCAGAGCAAGUCUUUAGCACUGGUGGAAAUAUUGUCUCCUGCUUGCGUUCAUCACUGAAACCAGAUCAUGUGAAUAGGCUGGUGUUUCUGGCUAAAAACCUUUAAGGCUUAGAUGUGUAACCCUAUCAGCAUUUUGGCCACGUUGGCCUGAAACAUAUUUACUUAGUCUAAAGUUGAAGUUAAACUUAUUUUCUGUUAGUUCUAAGCCAUGGUGGGCCAGCCUUAAAAUAUUAUUGGACUGAGACGAGUUACUGACUGGAAUGUGAUUGUUUAAAAUGUAGAAUGCUGUAAAAUGUUGUUUAAA